AAUCCCCAUUUGUGUUUCAGCUGCCUAGACAUCCGACGACAUUGCACCUGCAAUUUCACUCACAGAGAAUGCAUCAAAGCACUUCAAUAAGAUGAGAUCCAAACAUAAUGAGGAUCUAUGCCUGGGAAUUGGUGUUAAACAGGGUGGAUAUUCGGGCAUGUUGUAUACCAUGGACUUCUAUAGUAAAGAAAAUGCAAGACCAGAUGAUUCAACCAUUGAAUAUAAUGGUUUUAAGAUAGCAUCAUUUUCGAUUGACUGUCAAAGAAUGGAAGAAUUUAUGAGGAAGCUAGUACCAAGCAUUUGAAUGAAUAUGGAGAAGCUGGGUUGCGUACGUUGACGCUUGCUUAUAAAAAGCUUGAGGAGUCUGAGUAUUCUGCUUGGAACAAUGAAUUUCAAAAGCAAAAUCAUCUAUCGGGGCUGAUAGGGAGGUGAUGCUCGAGCGAGUAGCAGAGAAGAUGGAAAAAGACUUGAUCAUGGUUGGUGCUACAGCUGUGGAGGACAAAUUGCAAAAAAGGGCUGUGAUGGCCAGUGACUUUGCUAUUGCCCAGUUUCAGUUUUUGGAGAGACUUUUGGUUGUCCAUGGACAUUGGUGCUAUAAAAGGAUUGCUCAGAUGAU